rnacentral:rRNA from 1 species
CUGAAAUGUGCUUUGCUUAAAACGCAAGGACAUAGGAUGAGUUGGCGGCUGAUUAGCUAGUUGGCGAGGUAAUGGCUCACCAAGGCGAUGAUCAGUAGGGGCCCUGAAAGGGGUUGCCCCCAGAAUGGUACUGAGACACCGACCAUAGCCUUACGGGGUGCAGCAGGUUCGAAGACUUUCCAAUGUGCGAAAGCAUGAGAAGGAUAUCCCGAGUGCGUAUGUUUUACAUACGCUUUUGUCUAAUCUAAAAAGUUAGGAGAAUAAGUGGUGGGUAAGACUGGUGCCAGCCGCCGCGGUAACCCCAGCGCCACAAGUGGGAACCACGUUUAUUGGGUCUAAAGCGUUCGUAGCCGGCAUUGUAAGUUCUCUGUGAAAUUGUACAGCUUAACUGUGCAACGUGCAGAAAAGACUGCAAUGCUUGAGACUGGGAGAGGUCAGAGGUAUUCUUGGGGUACCGGUAAAAUGGGAUAAUCCUAAGAGGACCACCAUUAGCGAAGGCGUCUGACUAGAACAGAUCUGACGGUGAGGGACGAAAGCUAGGGGAGCGAAAAGGAUUAGAUACCCUUGUAGUCCUAGCCCUAAACGCUGUGAGCAAGAUGUUGCAUGAUCUUAGUGUUCGUGCAGAAUCGAAGAGAAGUCGUUAAGCUCACCACCUGGGAAGUACAGUCGCAAGGCCGAAACUUAAAGGAAUAGGCGGGGAAGCACACAAGGGGUGCGGCGUUCGGUUUAAUUCGAACUAGCGCGGGGAAUCUGACUAGAGGCGACUGCAAGAUGAUGACCAAAUUAAAGGUUUUGUCGGAUGCGCAGAGAGGUACUGCAUGGCCAUCGGCAGCUCGUGUUGUGAAAUGUCCAUUUAAGUAUGGUAACGAGCGAGAUUUGUGCUUACAAUUGCUAACAAGUUCGUAAGAAUGAUUGAGCACGUUGUAAGGACUGCCUUGGUAACAAGGAGGAAGGUGCAAGCCACGGUAGGUCAGUACGGUCCGAAUCUUCUAGGCUACACGUGCGCAACAAUGGUGGGAACAAUGGGAUGCAACUCUGAAAAGAGAAGCAAAUCCUCGAAAUCCCAUCCUGGUUUAGAUUGAGGGUUGUAACUCACCCUCAUGACAGCGGAAUCCCUAGUAAUCGGACUUUAUCAUGGUCCGGUGAAUAAGUCCCUGCUUCUUGCUCUCACUGCCCGUCAAAUCAACCGAGCACAGUUUAGAUGAGACUUGUCUUUAAGACAUAGCGAAUCUAAGCUGAGUGAGGUGGGUUAAGUCGACACAAGGUA